UACUUGACCAUCGGAUGGGCUUUCUCUUAUACACUUAAUGGGUUCUUUCUUUCAUUAUUAAUUUUAUGAAAGUAAAAAACGCAGCCAGAUAGAAAGAGACCAAUGUCUUCUUCGGGUAAGGAUAUCCAGUUUUAGGGUUCAUGAUUCUCCUUCAAUCUCUGACGAUCUUCAACAACAAUGGAGUUUCAGGAGGGUGAGUGAGCGAAUCGUCGUGAAUAAUAUAUUUGUCAAGCAUCUAUUGUGUCGGUUCCUCUUAUCCUCCGAAACGUUACGAGGUAUUGAUUCAUCGCAUUCAACAAACUCCAUCGACCUAUAUCUAGCACGAUUUCACAUUCAAUGUUCCUUAUCCCUUUGAUGGGCGGUGUAUCUUGACCUAUAAAAAAUUGAGUCUUCAUCCCUUGAAGUCUGACCGUUGUUCUUCCACCGUUGAGGCGUGGCUGCUCAGAUUUUGGGAAGUCAGAAACCUGAAACGCGACGGGGAGUUGAUAGGCGUGGACUUAUGCAAAGAUCGAUGCUCCACUGAAUGAGAGGGAUGGAAAAGUUCUAAUGAUGGUUCUACUUCUCCACCACAAUGGAGCUGCGAAAAUAAGAACAAGCUUACAGUGAAUAAAUCAUGAGUGAAACCCAUUCAAAACCCAUUGUGUCAACAGAAAAUAGUCCAUUUUUUUAAAUCAGUUUUUCAUUUGUCAUUCAGGUCUGAUUCAUGUGUUUGUCACAUGUUGUUCUUAACUCUGAUCGUGCUAUAUACAAUACAAGUGCUUCUCUCAAGCUGUCUGAUUAUUUCUUUAUUGAUUUCUUGGAUGAAGAUGAGAUGCUAAGAAAGCUAUGGAAGUUUGCAAAGUUUGGUGAUCAAAUGGGGCUAAAUGGGAAGGCUUUAGGCGACAGAGAAACAAAGAAUUAGCAAAAAUAAGUUUACAGUUGUAGGAGUUCCCCCACAUGCAUCACAUGGUCUGUAAGAAAUAAUAUUCUUGGCUUAGGACAUAACAGGAUUUAUCCCUGGAUGGAAUGUAGGUAGGGUGUCAUCGCAAAACUAUUACGAAAUUGCACUAGCUCACUUUCCAAUUUUUAGAUUAUUUCACCUUAUUUU